AUAGAUAUCAGCUGGAUUUCCAGCACACGGGUGACACCUAACCCCAUUUAAUCUUAUCUACUCACCAACUCUCUCUCCCCCCUUAAUUAUUUGGGCAAAAAGUAAAGAAAGAGAAAAAUAACAAUCAAAGUCAUUCUCUCUCAUUUCUUCCAUUCCCACCAACCAUGAGAAAGAAAUAGAGGGGGAUAUCAGCCAUUGAUGGAGCAAGAGAGAGAGGUAGCCAUGGAAGGAGAAGAAGAAAAGAGAUGAAGAAAAUAGAAAAUGAAGAAAACUCAUUAAAGGUACUUUCUAAAAUUAAAUCUAUAGUAAUUUCUUGGAUAGAUUUCUUCUAAAAUCUGAAAUCCCUACCAUGUUUAUGUUUUUUGUUUAUGUCUCAACUGGUGGGUAGCCAUUGAAGCAUGGUAGAAGAAGCUAAGGAAGAAAACAAGAGGUAUAGGGAAUAUUAACCCUUAAAUUAUGUUUAAUCUUGUUUUUAUGGGAGUUUAAUAAAAUAGAUGAUAGAUCAUGGAAGAUUCUUGAUCUUAAGGAGUAAUAGUAUGUAUUAUGAUGGUUAAUGUUUGAUUAAUCAAGAGAUCAUGGAAGUUUUCUUAGAAAUCAUAAAGGUUAGAAAAUCAGAUUUUUGAGAAAACAAAACCUGAAAUUCAAACGAUCAUAUCUCUCAUUCUAUUUCGAAUUUUUGAGUGUUGUCAAUUCCUAGAGUUAUAUCUAUGAGUCUUUUAAUAUCUCCAAGUGGAAUCACUGAAAAAGGAGUUUUAUAAUUUUGUAUGGACUAUUUUUGGCAAAGUAGAAAAAAUCUGGAAAUACCAAAAAAGUAAAUUGUCCAAAAGUUUGCAAGGGAAUUUUUGGCCAUUUAAUUAUUGAAAUAAAAUCAGGCCUUUUGGAACAUAAAAAUAUAUGAUAUAAAGUAGCUCCUGUCCAAAGAUGAGCUUAUUCCGACCUAAAUCAAUCGAGUUAUGGCCAUUUCAAUUUUUGGAAUUUUCAGACAAAAAUGGCUAUAAAUAAAGUUCUAUAACUCCGAUGGCCACAAAAUUUAAACUAGAUGUUCACGUUAAUACGUGCAAGAUUCUGCCAAGAGAUGGGAAUUUUUGGAGUUAAGCAUGAUAUAGCUAAUUUUCUUAAGUUACGAACUAAAAACGGACUUUUGAAAAAUAUUAAAUGAAAUUGAAAAAUUUCAUAAAAAUUAUUUUUGUGCAUGGAAUAUAUGUAUAUACGUGUGGCCAAGAGAUUAAAAAAAUAAGAUGAUUUGGUAUUUUUCAUGCUUAUAAUUAAGUUAAGAAUAAUUGAGAAAAUUAGAUUAUAUUAAGUCCUAAAAUUUGUUAAUAUGAUUUUAGUAACUAAUGAUCAUUAAUAUGUUAUAUUAAGACCAUAUAAGAGUAAUUUGGUCAUUUUUGAUAAAAUGUUAUAUGAAAGUUUUGAUAUGUUUGUUAAAUGAAUUAAAUGGUAAGAGAUAAACAAUUAACUUAAAAUUGUUUAUAAGUUUAUAAAUGAAUAAAAUAUUAUUAAAUGAUUAAUAGUAUUAGUAAAGGAAUAAAAUAUUAUUAAAUGAAUAAUAAUAUUAGAUAAUGAUUAAAAUAUUAUUAAAUGAUUAAUAAUAUUUGUAAAUGAAGAAGAUAUUAUUAGAUUAUUGAAUAUUAUUAAAGGGUGUUAAUAAUAUUAGAAAUUGAUAAAAAUAUUAUUAAAUAAUUAAUAAUAUUUGUUAAUGAUUAAGAUUUUAUUGAAUUUUAAGAAGUGAUUAAAUAUUAUUAAGUGAUUAAUAAUAUUAAGUGACUAAAAUAUUAUUAAAGGAUUAAUAAUAUUAGAAAAGAAUUUAAGAUGGUGAUUAAAUGAUGGUAAUAUUAUUUAGGGAUGAUAAUAUCACUAGUAAGUUAAAGAAUUAGUCAAUAUUUGAUUAUGUGGCUAAAUGUUUGCUAAUUUAUUAUUUGAGUAAUAGUACUGUGAGCUAAAAAGUAUGUUAUGCUAUAUUGAAGGAUCAAUCUUAUAACUGAUAGGUCUUUCAUGAGAGAUUAAAUUAGAUUGUUUAGCAGUAAUCAGCGGUAUAGGCAAGUUUCCUAACUCAAACUCGAGUGAUUAUAUUUCAAGCAUGCUAGUGGUUUAAUUAUUUAUAAUUAUUCCACAUCUUUGAUUAUUGAUUCACAUUUAGUUCAUGUUGCAUAUAUUCAUCAGGUAUGAAAGGCUAAUCACCCUCAUUACCAUAAGGUUCAAUUAAAUUUGUUCAUGGUCAUUGUUGAUCACUCAAUGUUAUUGAUUCAAUCAUUCAAUUAUUGAAAUUUUGAUUCAUUCUUUUUCAUAAUUAUUAUAUAUUGUUGAAAACUUGAAUGCUUAUUCCUUUUCAAUCAUGAUAUAUCUUCAUUAUAUUUAAACUUGCUUAGCAAAUUAGUUGCUCACUCUUGCUAUAUCAUGAUAACAUUUUCAGUUAAGAUGAGCGUUCGAAGAAGGACAGAGACAAUAGCAAAGGACAAGAUUAGAUUAUUAUGCACGUUAACUAUUUAGUUAUCUGAUGUAAGUUAUUUAUGUAAACCUUGUGUGAAUCUAAAGGUAUAUAUGUAAUUAAGUUAAGGUUAGAAACCUUAGAAAAUCAUUUGAAAAUGAACAAUGUAUGUAUGUAUAUUCUGCAAUAGUUAUAGAAUAAGUAUGAAGAUGAUGUAUCAUGACGUACCAGAUCUGUGAUUAAAGGGACCCGAAUUUGGGGACGUUACAAUAUCUCUCCUUUCAAUAUGCU
rnacentral:lncRNA from 1 species